UGAUUGGAGAAAGAAGAGCUAUCCACGGGU
rnacentral:piRNA from 1 species